rnacentral:rRNA from 1 species
GAUGAACGCUAGCUACAGGCUUAACACAUGCAAGUCGAGGGGAAACGACAUCGAAAGCUUGCUUUUGAUGGGCGUCGACCGGCGCACGGGUGAGUAACGCGUAUCCAACCUGCCCAUCACUUGGGAAUAACCUUGCGAAAGUAAGACUAAUGCCCAAUGACAUUUAUAGAAGGCAUCGGAAAUGAAUUAAAGAUUUAUCGGUGAUGGAUGGGGAUGCGUCUGAUUAGCUUGUUGGCGGGGUAACGGCCCACCAAGGCGACGAUCAGUAGGGGUUCUGAGAGGAAGGUCCCCCACAUUGGAACUGAGACACGGUCCAAACUCCUACGGGAGGCAGCAGUGAGGAAUAUUGGUCAAUGGGCGAGAGCCUGAACCAGCCAAGUAGCGUGCAGGAUGACGGCCCUAUGGGUUGUAAACUGCUUUUAUAAGGGAAUAAAGUGAGUCACGUGUGACUUUUUGCAUGUACCCUAUGAAUAAGGACCGGCUAAUUCCGUGCCAGCCGCCGCGGUAAAAGGG